AACGCAUAUUGCGCUCGCGGCUUCGGCCAAGAGCAUGUCUGUCUCAGCGUCGGUGAACCCCUCGCUCACACACUCCUCGGAGCGUGCGAGUCGGAGCUGGCUUUUUCUGAUCCUUCUCCCGAAGGAGCAGAUGAGCUGAAGUUCGAAGUCGCAGUCGUUGCUCUACGCUUGUCGUGGCAUCUCGAUUGGGUGGGUAGCUUCGCUUCCAACACUUAGUCGGUGAUGAUCUCGAUCGGCAAGGAGUCCUCGACGUAGGCUCAAGCAGGAAAACCUCGACAAGAGGUCUUUAACCUUUCACCAUUCGACCUGAGCUCAGGCAAGAUUACCCGCUGAACUUAA
rnacentral:misc_RNA from 1 species